rnacentral:rRNA from 1 species
UACGGAGGGGGCAAGCGUUGUUCGGAAUCAUUGGGCGUAAAGGGCGCGUAGGCGGCCGGCCAAGUCGGGUGUGAAAUCCCUCGGCUCAACCGAGGAACUGCACUCGAUACUGGCUGGCUCGAGUCCGGGAGGGGAUGGUGGAAUUCCCAGUGUAGCGGUGAAAUGCGUAGAUAUCGGGAGGAAUACCUAAGGCGAAAGCAGGUUUCUGGGCCAUCACUGACGCUGAGCUGCGAAAGCUAGGGGAGCAAACAGG